rnacentral:ribozyme from 12 species
AAGAAGAAGAAAAGAAAAAACAAAAAGAAUUCUUUCUUCUUCGGCAUUUGUUCUGCUUCUUGUUUCUCCGUUUGCAUUUUUCUUCCUCUUGUUUUUUUUUUUUUUGUAUUUCCCUUCU